rnacentral:rRNA from 1 species
GAUGAACGUUGGCGGCGUGCCUAAUACAUGCAAGUCGAACGGAGAUUGUAGCAAUACGGUCUCAGUGGCGAACGGGUGAGUAACGCGUUGGUGACCUGCCCCGAAGUGUGGAAUAACAGAUCGAAAGAGCUGCUAAUACCGCAUAAUAUCCAGAAGACUAGAUGCUUUUUGGAUUAAAGGAUUUAUUCGCUUCGGGAGGGGCCUGCGUCCCAUCAGCUAGUUGGUAAGGUAAAGGCUUACCAAGGCUAUGACGGGUAGGGGACCUGAGAGGGUGGCCCCCCACAAUGGAACUGAAACACGGUCCAUACACCUACGGGUGGCAGCAGUAGGGAAUAUUAGAAAUGGGCGAAGCCUGAUCUAGCAACACCGCGUGUGCGAUGAAGGUCUUCGGAUUGUAAAAGCAACUUUUUGGAGGGAUUGGAGGAAGGCAGUACCUCCAGAAUAAGCCUCGGCUAACUACGUG